AGGCGUAGUGGCGGGCGCCUGUGAUCCCAACUACUCAGGAGGCUAAGGCAGGAGAAUCACUUGAACUUGGGAGGUGCAGGUUGCGGUGAGC
rnacentral:miRNA from 1 species